GACGAACGCUGGCGGCGUGCUUAACACAUGCAAGUCGAACGCUGAAGCCCUGGCUUUUGUUGGGUUGGUUGAGUGGCGCACGGGUGAGUAACACGUGAGUAACCUGCCCUCUUCUUUGGGAUAACGCCCGGAAACGGGUGCUAAUACUGGAUAUUCACUGAUCUUCGCAUGGGGGUUGGUGGAAAGGUUUGUUCUGGUGGGGGAUGGGCUCGCGGCCUAUCAGCUUGUUGGUGGGGUGAUGGCCUACAAUGGCUUUGACGGGUAGCGGGCCUGGGACGGUGACCGGAAAAAUAGGGACAGAUGCACAGCACUGAGAGCUACGGAAGACAGCAGUAGGGAAUACUGCGCAAUAAGAGGAUGCAUGAUGAAGCGACGCCGCGUGAGGGAUGGAGGGCUGCGGGAUGUAAUCCUCUUUCGCUCAAGGAUGAGCCGCAACAGUAGGUUGUGGUGAAGGUAGUGGGUAAAGAAGCGCCGGCUAACUACGUG
rnacentral:rRNA from 1 species